ACUAGCCGUUGGGGUCCUUGAAACCUUUGUGGCGCAUUUAACGCGAUAAGUCGACCGCCUGGGGAGUACGGCCGCAAGGUUAAAACUCAAAUGAAUUGACGGGGGCCCGCACAAGCGGUGGAGCAUGUGGUUUAAUUCGAUGCAACGCGAAGAACCUUACCUACCCUUGACAUCGUGCGAACUUUCCAGAGAUGGAUUGGUGCCUUCGGGAGCGCACAGACAGGUGCUGCAUGGCUGUCGUCAGCUCGUGUUGUGAAAUGUUGGGUUAAGUCCCGUAACGAGCGCAACCCUUGUCCCUAUUUGCCAGCGAUUCGGUCGGGAACUCUAGGGAGACUGCCGGUGACAAACCGGAGGAAGGUGGGGACGACGUCAAGUCAUCAUGGCCCUUACGGGUAGGGCUACACACGUGCUACAAUGGUCGGUACAAAGGGUUGCAAUACCGCGAGGUGGAGCUAAUCCCAUAAAGCCGGUCUCAGUCCGGAUCGGAGUCUGCAACUCGACUCCGUGAAGUCGGAAUCGCUAGUAAUCGUGAAUCAUAAUGUCACGGUGAAUACGUUCCCGGGCCUUGUACACACCGCCCGUCACACCAUGGGAGUGGACUGCACCAGAAGUGGUUAGCCUAACUUCGGAGGGCGAUCACCACGGUGUG
rnacentral:rRNA from 1 species